rnacentral:misc_RNA from 1 species
GAUGAAGAACGUAGUGAAAUGCGAUAAGUAAUGUGAAUUGCAGAAUUCAGUGAAUCAUUGAAUCUUUGAACGCACCUUGCGCUCCUUGGUAUUCCGAGGAGCAUGCCUGUUUGAGUGUCAUUAAUAUAUCAACCUUCUCUUUUUUGAGUUGUUUGGAUGUGGGGGUUUGCUGGCCUCUUAAAUGAUUCAGCUCCCCUGAAAUGCAUUAGCAGAACAACCUGUUCAUUAGCGUGAUAAUUAUCUAUGCUAUUGAAUGUGAGGGCAGUUCAGCUUUCUAACCGUCCUUGGACAAUUCAUCAUUAAUGUGACCUCAAAUCAGGUAGGACUACCCGCUGAACUUAAGCAUAUCAAUAAGCGGAGGA